AUCCGAGAACUGGAGGAUAAGCUGGAGGUCCAGAGGCGACAUCUGAAAGAACUGGAGGAAAAGCAUUCAUUCUGUGGCCUUGAUGACUUCCGUGAGCCAAGAACUCGGGAUAGAAAAAGAGCUUAUGGAGUAAACUGAGUCCCUAUGGCAACCCCUACCCCACUCUAACCAAAAUUCAACAGCAAAGCAAGCUAUUCAAGCCCAGAGACUGAAACCAGAAUUCACAUAUGCUUGACUACAGCUCGAAAGGGAAGCCUUUUGGGUCUGUGGCUGGGUUCUGGCCAGGCCUAACUGUAGGAGUUCUAUAGGGACGAUGAAAACUUUGUCAAGCUCGGGGCCAUAUCUGAGUCCCCACUGUAGCACCUUCAAGAGCCCAAGGGGCAGAGACCUGAAUACCAGGAAACUAAGUGCAAUUACCAGAAACUGAGUGACUGGGGAGCCGCUGCAUUGUCUGU